UCUGGGGUCAAAAACUAGGUCACUAUGUCAAAAACUAGGUCACAUAAUAGGUCAAAUCAUAGGAAAACCUUGUGUAGACAAUAGAGGUCGCAGUUUUCAUCAAUCUUUAUGAACUUUGGUCAGAAUGUUUAUCUUGAUGAAAUCUGGGUUGGGAUUGUAUUUGGGUCAUCUGGGGUCAAAAACUAGGUCACUAGGUCAAAAACUUGGUCAAAUAAUAGAAAAACCUUGUGUAGACAGUAGAGGUCACAGUUUUCAUCCAAUCUUUAUGAAAUUUGGUCAGAAUGUUUAUCUUGAUAAAAUCUGGGUUGGGAUUGUAUUUGGGUCAUCUGGGGUCAAAAACUAGGUCACUAGGUCAAAAACUAGGUCAAAUAGUAGGAAAACAUUGUGUAGACAGUAGAGGUCACAGUUUUUAUCCAAUCUUUAUGAAAUUUGGUCAGAAUGUUUAUCUUGAUGAAAUCUGGGUUGGGAUUGUAUUUGGGUCAUCUGAGGUCAAAAACUAGGUCACUAGGUCAAAUAAUAGAAAAACCAUCAACAAUUUGUUUGUGUAGACAGUAGAGGUCACAGUUUUCAUCCAAUCUUUAUGAAAUUUGGUCAGAAUGUUUAUCUUGAUAAAAUCUGGGUUGGGAUUGUAUUUGGGUGAUCUGGGGUCAAAAACUAGGUCACUAGGUCAAAAACAAGGUCACUAGGUCAAAUAAUAGAAAAACCUUGUAUAGACAAUAGAGGUCACAGUUUUUCAUCCAAUCUUUAUGAAAUUUGGUCAGAAUGUUUAUCUUGAUGAAAUCUGGGUUGGGAUUGUAUUUGGGUCAUCUGGGGUCUAAAACUAGGUCACUAGGUCAAAUAAUAGAAAAACCUUGUGUAGACAAUAGAGGUCACAGUUUUCGUCCAAUCUUUAUAAAAUUUGAUCAGAAUGUUUAUCUUGAUGAAAUCUGGGUUGGGAUUGUAUUUGGGUCACCAGGGGUUAAAAACUAGGUCACUAUGUCAAAUAAUA